AAUGAACGCUGGCGGCGUGCUUUACACAUGCAAGUCGAGCGAGGCGGCCCGCAAGGGUCAGUCGAGCGGCGAACGGGUGAGUAACACGUGGAUUAUCUACCCUAAGGUGGGGAACAACCCGGGGAAACUCGGGCUGAUACCGCAUGAUACCGAAAGGUCAAAGGGGGCUCGCAAGGGCUUCCGCCAUAGGAGGAGUCUGCGUCCGAUUAGCUAGUUGGUAGGGUAAUGGCCUACCAAGGCGACGAUCGGUAGCCGGCCUGAGAGGGUGAUCGGCCACACUGGAACUGAGACACGGUCCAGACUCCUACGGGAGGCAGCAGUGGGGAAUUUUGCGCAAUGGGCUAACGCCUGACGCAGCAACGCCGCGUGGAGGAUGAAGGUCCUUGGAUUGUAAACUCCUGUCAGCAGGGAAAAAGCGACUCGGGCGAAUACCCCGGGGAGUUGAUUGUACCUGCAGAGGAAGCCCGGCUAACUCUGUGCCAGCAGCCGCUGUAAG
rnacentral:rRNA from 1 species